CAAUAGCGUAUAUUAAGGUUGUUGCAGUUAAAAAGCUCGUAGUUGAAACUUGGGCCUGGCUGGCGGGUCCGCCUCACCGCGUGCACUCGUCCGGCCGGGCCUUCCUUCUGAAGAACCUCAUGCCCUUCACUGGGCGUGCUGGGGAAUCAGGACUUUUACUUUGAAAAAAUUAGAGUGUUCAAAGCAGGCCUUUGCUCGAAUACGUUAGCAUGGAAUAAUAAAAUAGGGCGUGCGUUUCUAUUUUGUUGGUUUCUAGAGACGCCGCAAUGGUUAACAGGAACAGUCGGGGGCAUCAGUAUUCAGUUGUCAGAGGUGAAAUUCUUGGAUUUACUGAAGACUAACUACUGCGAAAGCAUUUGCCAAGGAUGUUUUCAUUAA
rnacentral:rRNA from 1 species